rnacentral:rRNA from 1 species
CCUACGGGUGGCAGCAGUGAGGAAUAUUGGUCAAUGGCCGUAAGGCUGAACCAGCCAAGUAGCGUGAGGGAAGACGGCACAGAGGGUUGUAAACCUCUUUUAUGAGGGGAUAAAGGUGUGCACGUGUGGAUGUUUGCAGGUACCGGAUGAAUAAGGACCGGCUAAUUCCGUGCCAGCAGCCGCGGUAAUACGGAAGGUCCGGGCGUUAUCCGGAUUUAUUGGGUUUAAAGGGUGCGCAGGCGGGAGAUCAAGUCAGCGGUAAAAUGUCGGGGCUCAACCCCGGCCGGCCGUUGAAACUGGUUUUCGAGAGUUGGAGAGAAGUAUGCGGAAGUCGUGGUGUAGCGGUGAAAUGCAUAGAUAUCACGAAGAACUCCGAUUGCGAAGGCAGCAUACCGGCUCCAUACUGACGCUGAGGCACGAAAGCGUGGGGAUCGAACAGGAUGAGAUACCCCUGUAGUC